UAAGCGGAGGAAAAGAAACCAACAGGGAUUGCCUUAGUAGCGGCGAGCGAAGCGGCAACAGCUCAAAUUUGAAAUCUGGCUACUUUGUAGUCCGAGUUGUAAUUUGUAGAGGAUGCUUUUGGUGAGGUGCCUUCCGAGUUCCCUGGAACGGGACGCCAGAGAGGGUGAGAGCCCCGUACGGUUGGAUACCAAACCUUUGUAUAGCUCCUUCAACGAGUCGAGUAGUUUGGGAAUGCUGCUCUAAAUGGGAGGUAUAUCUCUUCUAAAGCUAAAUACCGGCUAGAGACCGAUAGCGCACAAGUAGAGUGAUCGAAAGAUGAAAAGCACUUUGAAAAGAGAGUUAAACAGCACGUGAAAUUGUUGAAAGGGAAGCGCCUAUGACCAGACUUGUUUCUGUCAGUUUUGCUCGUUCUCGGACCUGCUUACUCUGUCAGUACAGGCCAACAUCAGUUUGUUGUUUGGGAGAAAGGCUUAGGGAAUGUGGCUCUUUCGGGAGUGUUAUAGCCCUUUGCAUAAUACCAUUCGGCAGACUGAGGACCGCGCUUCGGCAAGGAUGUUGGCGUAAUGGUCAUCAGCGACCCGUCUUGAAACACGGACC
rnacentral:rRNA from 1 species